UAAAAAGGAAUGAUUGCUGGUUGCUUUAAGGUCUUGAUCUUUUCAGCAGCUCAUUAUCAAUCAAAACAAUGGUAAUAUAAUAUACCGUAAUACCUAAACUGAUAGAUGCGAGUCUGGUGCAAAGUAGUUUCUGGUGAUUUCGAUAAGAAUCAAAAAUAAUUCAAAUAUUUUCUUUCCACCACGCGACUCGCUCCGUGUUAUCGUCGCCAAAACUGCUUAAUGUUCACAACGACCAGUGUCCAAAAAUAUAAUUCACGUUUGAUUAAAAUAUGAAGAUCUUUAUCUCGUUCACUGUACUUUUAAUUUUUUUUCUCGUGAAUGAUUAUCAUAAAGAAGUCAUUGUCCCCGAAGCAUUGAACUUGUAUGUUCAGUCAUUACUUUACCUUGAAUUUAAUUUUUAGACAGGUCUACAUAAACUGUUUAAUCACAUCAGGAAAACGAGUUUAUUACUUAAUGGUUGACAUCAUUUAUUAUUCACCGGCCGGUUAAUGUAUUGUUGGUCGAAAUUUUGCAAAUGUUCGUGAUGCAAACGAUUUUGGAAAGCGUUAGAAGUCAGGAGAUAAUGGCAUUCAUAAAUAAUCUAUGGAAAUGCUUUGAUUUUAUUCUGAAUAAAAUUAUUUGUUCAGAAAAACGGGCAUCGUGCAUAUGGUUGAUGGUUUGUAUCUCAAAAUGGACUGCAUUAGUUUAAAUGCUUUCAAAAUGUAGAAUUUUGCAAAUAAAGUUGAAGAUAUGGACAAUGAAACGUGGUGCAUUAUGCGAUAUGAUAGAAACAAAAAGGGUUUGGAUAUCCUUGUCCUCGCGGCGGAUAUCAAAGAGGAUGCAAUGUUGAUAAUGCUUUUAUCGUAAUAAAUAAUGAACUAAACGGGUUUGAGCGAAUUUGUUCGUAAUCUGAAGUGCAUAUUUGAGAACGAAUAAAUAGGAGCUGCCAGCAUUUCUCUGAAGCUUCCAAAAGAAAAGUUAAGAUGACGAACUGUAUUUACUUUAUUAUAACCUUGCAUAUUCUCUUCUCCUGCGAUACAAUUUAUUUUUUACAAACCUAAAAAAGAAAAAGAAAAGAAAA